CUCACUUUGUCCGAGCCGGCGGAGGAAAACAAACGGCUCCAUGGCAACGGAGCACGGUCUGCUGCUGCGUUCAGGCGCUGCUGCAGGGCUCGGAAAUGUGAACUUUACCACUGCAGCGAGUAAGGACGGACACAAAAUGAUCCCUCGUCUUCCUGGCACGAGUCCCGUCUUAUCCUGCAUCCUUACAUCCUUCAGUAGCUCAGGUAGUGUUACCGGCUCCUCAGCCUCGACCAGCAGAGCACAGAUCAUCUUACACUGUUGUUGUUUGUGUGAGUGACAGUGGAGAGACGGCUACAGAGUGCAGAGACGCUGAUAAAGAGACGUAUAAUUUCCACUGAGGGGUAAUGAAUGUGAAUGAAUGAAGGAAAGAAACAUCAGAAGGUAAUGAAACCGACCACAGGGUGUCACUGAAGUGCAACACAUGAGGCGGCUUUCCAACUGCUGCACCUCCUCCAAGUGUUCCAGCUAUUAUUAACCCAACAGAAGUCCAGAGAACAGAGAUGAGAGACAGUUGUGAGUAAAGGAGCCAGAAACAAAAGUCAGUCCAGCUGUGUGUAUUUGUGAAAGCCAAAGAAGUGCCAGAUUAAAUAAGUGAACUCCCAAAGCAGCCUAAAGAGUGUGUAAAAGAAAAAAAAUACCUGGCACACACUCGCUCAUUUAAUAAAAAGAACACAAUCCAGAUAAAAGUGAGAUUGUUGACAUCGGCUGUGUAAAACUGUAUUUCAGGCACACGUGGCAGAGACAGAGAUACAACAAAUACACAGUACCAGGCAACGUGAAGUGGUAACUCAUACAAACAGGGCAAAACUGCUGAGGAAUAUUUACAUUCUUUCAAGGUUAUACAUACAUAUAUAUAUAAUGCAUAGAAACGUAUAACAUUACAUUCUCACACUGAACACUAUAUGUGAAGCAACAUGUGGCCCAAUCUGUUGUACUGCCUCUGCAGAAAAUGUGCAAUGUUCCUUUAAAUCCAUUCAAGAAUAUCUACAAACUUCAUAUCAUGCAGCAUGUUUUAAUUACACUUGGAACAGGCAGGACGUGUGUGUGUGUUGGUGAAGGAGGCGCAGAGAUAAGCUUUAACAUUUGUUAUUGUUAGCUUUACAUGAAAGUAAAGAUAGUAACAGCGUCUUAACUUUAAAUACUUCAUCCUGCGCUCAGUUUAGAUGUUCCUUAUUAGGACAGAGGGAGAAAAAAACAAAUCCACAUUCUUCCCGGAGGUCGUCCUCCACCUCCCCUUCUCUGUGUGUCUGGGCACAGCUGAUGUCCUAAAAUGGUCGUAUUGUGUUACUGUUGUGUGAUUUAUAUAAAAAUCCUGCGGCUUUUUCCGACUGAACUGUCAGUGACUUCAUUUGAGCGCUUCCUUCUAAAGAGCCGUGGUUUCUGCAUCACUCUGCUCCAGAACAAUCGCCGUUCAGGGGUUUUUUGUGUUUCUGGGAAUUUUGUUUUUGUGGUCAAAUUGAAACUGCGAGCAUGACGGGAAUGAGAGCGACAUCAUGAACUCAGACAUUUGAUUUGCUAUGGGUGGAUUACACACACACACACACACACACACACACACACACACACACACACAC